rnacentral:rRNA from 2 species
UGCAGUCGAGCGGAGUUUUGAAAAGCUUGCUUUUCAAAACUUAGCGGCGGACGGGUGAGUAACACGUGGGCAACCUGCCCUUGAGACGGGGAUAACUCCGGGAAACCGGAGCUAAUACCGGAUAACACAUAUCUUCGCAUGAGGAUAUGUUAGAAGGUGGCUUUUAGCUACCACUCAAGGAUGGGCCCGCGGCGCAUUAGCUAGUUGGUGAGGUAACGGCUCACCAAGGCGACGAUGCGUAGCCGACCUGAGAGGGUGAUCGGCCACACUGGGACUGAGACACGGCCCAGACUCCUACGGGAGGCAGCAGUAGGGAAUCUUCCGCAAUGGACGAAAGUCUGACGGAGCAACGCCGCGUGAGUGAUGAAGGUUUUCGGAUCGUAAAGCUCUGUUGUUAGGGAAGAACAAGUACCUGUUAAAUAAGCAGGUACCUUGACGGUACCUAACCAGAAAGCCACGGCUAACUACGUGCCAGCAGCCGCGGUAAUACGUAGGUGGCAAGCGUUGUCCGGAAUUAUUGGGCGUAAAGCGCGCGCAGGCGGUUCCUUAAGUCUGAUGUGAAAGCCCACGGCUCAACCGUGGAGGGUCAUUGGAAACUGGGGAACUUGAGUGCAGAAGAGGAGAGCGGAAUUCCACGUGUAGCGGUGAAAUGCGUAGAGAUGUGGAGGAACACCAGUGGCGAAGGCGGCUCUCUGGUCUGUAACUGACGCUGAGGCGCGAAAGCGUGGGGAGCGAACAGGAUUAGAUACCCUGGUAGUCCACGCCGUAAACGAUGAGUGCUAAGUGUUAGAGGGUUUCCGCCCUUUAGUGCUGCAGCAAACGCAUUAAGCACUCCGCCUGGGGGAGUACGGUCGCAAGACUGAAACUCAAAGGAAUUGACGGGACCCGCACAAGCGGUGGAGCAUG